UUUAACUUCGUGUCAUGCGAAUUUUUCGCUCGAGUUGAAUAUUUUCAACUUGGGCGAAGAAGACGCGUUUGAGGCGAAUAGCGCGUGUUUUCAGAGCAAACGCGCCGCCCAUAUCGCGUCAUUCGCGAACAAAAUACAGUAGUGACAAAACGACUGAAGACUGGAAACACUGGAUUCUUUAAACACAAUCGGCACUCGGAACAGCACAGUUAUACGCCUGACAGGGAUAAAGUCAGAUGUGAUGUUUGACAGAGCUGGAUUCAUCAUCUCUCUUUUAUCUUUACUCAUUCUUCUGACUCUGAUGUUCAUCUCUGCAGCUGGAUGGAGGAUAAGGAAAAACUUCAAACAUCCUGAAGAAAACAAGACAAACACACAGAAUGAUGUUUUGUAUUCAAAUGUCCAUGGACCGGCCGAGACCUCAGAACUGAAGAAGAGAGAAGAGUCUGAAGAUAAGGAUAAAGUUCAAUACUCUCAUCUUCAUUUCAGUAAAUAUAAAACUGCUGAAAGUCUUGCAGUGGCGGCUGAUGUCCAGUAUGCUGUUAUUAAAGUCUAAUAGCUCAGUGCUGACCUCUACUGAUAAACAACACCAUUACUCUUCAGACUGAUAUUACAGAUGAGCUAUUUGUGUUUAAUCACAGCUUAGAUCAAAUAAAAAGUGCAUUUUUAAUGAGCUAGUCUAUGAAAUGUGGACAGAUUUAGUUGAUCUAAAUAUCAUUUUGCCUUUUUUUUAAUCUUUCUAAUGUGCUUAUAAUGUAUGACAUUAUUUGUGUAGCAGUGAUGUCAUUCAUUGAUUUAUCACUUUUAUAAAUUCAUUGUUAUUUUUGAAAGCAAGAAAAUUAAAAUGUUUGCUGUAGUAAAUUACACAAUUGUCCUUGCUAUUUAUUUGAACAAAGUUUAUUGGUCUAACAGCAGCAACAGGACUUUAAAUGUUGUCACCACUAAGGUUAAAAUUAAAAUGAUAGGCAAUAUAAUAUUUGUGAUUAUUUGAGGCGUUUUCACAUCUCUGAUAAAAAUAAUGUAUUGACUGGUAAGAAGUAGAGGAUGAAAUAAAAACAAACUAUUGUACGGUUUAGUGAAAGAGUGAUAGUUUAGGUUUAGUGUAAGCUCUUGUUAAGUCUGAUGUGAAUGAUGUGCUAUGCUGUUUCUCCUUGCCUGACGUCAGUCGCCAUUUGUGACGGUUACCAUGACAACCGCUAUCCUCCUCUAGAGAUACAUCUACUGAUAAAUGCAGCACUUGGUUUGCACUGUACACCGCAUAUACAGAUGCACUUAAAUAUGGUGAAUAUAAUUGCCAUAUAUCUUUCCAACACUGUUGCCUAAUGUAUAUUCAAUUAUAUCGGUUAUAGUAUGUUCGAAUAAUUAUGUCGGUUUUAAUCAGUAAAGUACAAACACCAGACAUUAAUCAUUUAUUUCAAUAUUACACAUAUAAUUUAUACAAAAUAUGAAAUAUUUAAACUGAUUCAUAUUUUAGAUGUUUUCUUGACUGAUUCAGAAAUAAUAAAUGUUUGAGAGAUGGAUUUGUGUUUGAGACACUAUAGAGAGGCAGAAGAAAAGAGGAUUUCCACUCCAUAUUAACACAUCUAUUUAUAGCUCCUGCUGUAUCUGUUUUUAGUACACAUGUUAUUGAUGUUCUGCUGGCUCGAGGGCCCGCUCCUCAUCUUCACUUCGGCCCCCAGGCAUCAUCACUGCUGUUUACUGAACUGUUGGGAGCUUUCACAUAGUGUCAUAUUUAAAAAUGAUUUCUUGUCUGGACUACUGUACUGUAUAUCAUUUACUAUAUGUGGAGCAUUUUUAUUUAUAUCUGAUCUGAGAAGAUCCCAUCUGUCUGAAUGUCCUGAUCUGAUCUCUGACAGAGGACUACACAUCUUUUUAACUGUAAUGCAUUGAUUCUUCACCUGCUGUUCACUCUCAUUGGUGUCAUUAAAUAUUCAACAUA